GACGGAGGAUGCAAGUGUUAUCCUGAAUCACUGGGCUUAAAGCGUCUGUAGGUGGUCAAAUAAGUCAACUGUUAAAUCUUGAGGCUCAACCUCAAAAUCGCAGUCGAAACUAUUAGACUAGAGUAUAGUAGGGGUAAAGGGAAUUUCCAGUGGAGCGGUGAAAUGCGUAGAGAUUGGAAAGAACACCGAUGGCGAAGGCACUUUACUGGGCUAUUACUAACACUCAGAGACGAAAGCUAGGGUAGCAAAUGGG
rnacentral:rRNA from 1 species